GAGCCAUAAAACACAAAUCAAGACUGCAUUCGACAAGAUAUAUAUGUAACUACCGAUUUCCAUUAUGCAUAACCAAGAAAAAUAAAAGUAUUACCAUCAUGUAAUCUGCAUAAACGGUGUCUACCGUAAUAACACACUUCAAAUUGUCAUCCCAACCCGAGCCACUUAAACCUCGUAAUUCUUGAAUAGCUAAGAACUUCGAUUUUAGAGUUUAGCAUCUAAACAUUAUAUUUGGAUCGACUUUCGCCCCACACCCUGCUUUCUCAGCUUCCACCAUUUGUUCUAUUACCUUGUAGGCGCCCAGGAGGAACUUUUUCUUCUCUUCCACCUUCUUACUCUCCAACAACGUAACUAUACACCUACCAAGUAUAUCUGGUCUAGCUCGACCGACCAUGGAAAGUACUGUCGAGCAGUUUCAGUACUAUCAUCAGCUUUCUUCUUCCUCGGCAUUGCAAAAUUGACCUGCAAGUAUGACCAAACAAAAAGUUAUGACAAAACAUAGUAUGCACUACUGUCUCAGAUGCUGAAUGAAACAACUACUUUUAAUCUGCAUCAGUGGAUAUAAAAGCAAGUAUAUCCGGUUCAGUCGGAUCCUGCAAUGAAAUAGUGUUGAACGUUUGCUCCACCGGAUCGACUCCCACUUCCCUACUAAUAAAAUUGUGUAACAAGCAACAAGCAUGCACAGUUUUCGUGAGCACCACAGGAAAGAACCAAGUUGUGUCACAUAAGAUAGCCCAUCGCUUUUUGAGCAAUCUGAAUGCUCUCUCAAUUACGUUCCUCGCACUUGAAGGCUUCAUGUUAAAGUAUUUUUUAGGGGUGUUUGGUCUAUUUGAACCCUAUUCCUUUAGAUGAUAUCUUUGACCCCUAAACGGUGUAAAAAAUCCCUCACCAUUUAAAUAUCUGGCAUUAGCAAGAUAAUAUGAUCCUAAGUGAAAAGAUAAUGUUAGUUGGUGUUUUUCCUAGCACUAUACAAGUUUUUAAUGAUAAGUUCAGUGCUUUGAUUUACCUUUUAGGACUUUUAACCCAUCAGGCCUAGCCAAAGCAUUACGUAACAUACGACAAUCAUGAGUAGACCCUUCCCAGCCAGCUAAACAGUAUAUCAACUCCAUAUAUGGAUUGCACACUCCCGAAACAUAUAUAGACACUUCACCCUUUCUAUUAUUAUACCUUGGGUGAUCUUUUAAUUUUGCACAAAUCUUUCCAUGAGUUCCAUCUAACACCCCUAGACAGUUAUGCAUAUGAACUAUGUAUUUCAAAUGGAAGUGCUGUAACAUUCUAGCCCGAUCAUACCAAAAGUACAAACUAAAUUAAUGUGGUACAUGGUAAUGUACAGAUACAAGAACUAUUUCUACACAUAUAUUGAUAUAUAUCUGCACAAAAGAUUUUUUACGUUCACUUAUCUAGCCAUGCACUACCAUACAAAAAAAAUAGAGAGUGUAUGUGGCAAGUGUAGGAAGAUACACCCAUCCAUUCAUGGGGACAUCUCUUUGGAUGUGUGGAAUGUCCAGAUACCUAGGAUACAAACAAAUAAGUUAUGGAUAAGUUAAAGUAAUUGGUUCAAUUGUUUUUAGGUGUUGUAGCAGUAGUGCAUCCCCAAUCUCCAUUAUAAAUAGAACGUUAUCCAUUAAGUUGUAAGGCAGAAAUAGUGGAGGUAGGAUACUUAAAUAGAGGAAAUAUAGAAGAAGCCGGUCCCUCAUACUUGGGUCAUAAUUCAAGUCCUUUGAAUUACAUACGAUGUCAACUCGGAAGUUAUUAUCGGUUUUCUCAAGGAUUAUUUCUAGUGAGGGUGUCCUGCGUAUCCAACCGGGUUAGACAUUCCAUUAUGAAUUUAUUUUUAUUAAAGGCCAUAUGCAUGAUAGGGUAAAGUUCGUUUAAUGCUAAGAUUAUAUAUGCUUCUUUACCCUAUUUAUGAUUUAAUAUGGUACAUGUCCGGUUACUUUGCUGAUAUAACUGAGUUAAUAUAUGUGUUAAUCUAAGCAAUAUCUAUUACUGAUUAUUGAAUAAAUCUGGUAAUUGAUUGAUCACCUAGUUAGGGCCCGUAUGCUGGCGAUUGUGCUUAUUGCACUUCUGUUAUGCGGUGGGCCUUGGUAAGCGCCACAACUAACUAUUGCCGUGGUCUUUGAUAAGCGCCACACUAACUCUACGCGGCCCAUUUUAGUGCCACUAACUCUACAUGGGUCGUCAGCAAAUGUGAGCUGGGAUCCCAAAUAAAAUAUGGAUAUGAAUUAGAUUAUAGAUUUAGCCUUCUGUGUUAUAUGCCAGAUACUUUCUAUAUGAUUAUGUGUACCUUAGAGUGACGAGGAUAGAGAUCCUCACUCAGUGCUUAGCACUGACCCUUACUUUCCAUUUCAGAGUGACAGUAGGCUUUACUGGUUCACACACUGCAAAACUGCAAAAUGGUAUGAUCGAGCUUCGGGGUCGGUCAUCACGGUGACGACACCAGGUAGAUAUCGAAGAUUGUGUCUUGAUCCUCGUUUUGUGUUUAAAGCUCGUUUGAGAGUCUUACUCUCAUCAUGUGCAUAUGUUAUGAGUGAUUGUGUACUAGUAUAACGUGAGAUAUGAUUUUGUAAAAUAUAGUGGCAUUGAGGGCAAGUAUAUGGUUACUCCAAUCCGAGCCUGUGAAGCUCGAGGCUUCUACUUUAUAUGUAUAUGUGUCCCGCUGGACUUCUGGUAUAGUGUACUGUAUUGUGAAAAAUCAAUAAGUCAUAUAUGACAUUGUGAGCAGUUUCUGUGUUGACGGAUUAAUUAUAUGGGUACNNAAAACGAAUUAUAACAUAAUAGGUUCUUAACAAGUUCAAAAACGAAUCUUAAAAUGUGUCCAUUGUGGGAGAUUACUGUCCGCAGUAACAAGUUUAGCUUUGAAGUAUAAAGUAGGAUGCAUUUUAAGAAUAGAUACUACGAUGGCAUGGAUAACGACACAAAUUGUUUUACCUGACCGACCAAACUCCUAUUGCACUGUUCUAUUUUUCACAUUGUGCCCCAAAGUAUACAAAAACAUCACAAUCAUCUCAUCUACAAACAUCACAAUCAUCUCAUCUACUUCAAAUAUGUGGAUAGACACUCUAAUAUUAUAUAAAUAGACACUCUAAUCUUAUUUAUGCUUGAUCGGUCGCUCCUUUUUAUUACCUUAGUCAUGAUAUCAUCCCUAGAUUUUUCACCUUCCAACAACCUAUCGCUAUUUGUCGGUACACAUCAAAUUCGUGGUCGAAGAUCUCGUAAGAGAAUGAGCAGUAGAAAUAAGAAAACCAACAAGUUCACAUUGAACACCAUUCUGAUGGUGUUCGUUAGACGCCAUCAACCUCGCCAUAACUACAGAUAUGCAGUUUGUAAUAGUUGUGAUUGUAAGUUGUAAUACACAAAAGAAGCAAAAACAUCCAUCAACCAUUUAAAAGAAAAUAAAAAAGCAUAACAAGUCAGCCACAACAUCAAACUAGUGAAAGAGAAUAACACAAUAAAAUGACGGAUGUUUUUAAUUAGUCAACCAUAAAUUAGAAUCAUAAAUUGAAAAACCCUAAAUCAGAUAAAUAAAUAAACCCUGAAUGAGAUGCCUAAAUUGAAAAUACCUAAGAUGAACUAAUUCGAAAACCUAGAUCGGAAGUGACAGUAAUCGCAAAAGUAUAAAAGAACCUAGAGGAAGAAGAGGGAGAUGGGUUACCCUAAUAAUGAUGCAGAGGGAGAUGAUGGGCGAUGAACGACACUUUGGGUUUUCAAGACGAGCUGGGUUUUUAGGGUUGAAGGAGGCUUUGCCAUUAUCUAGAGGGAAAGAGCUUGAUGAUGAGUCUGUCGGAAGAUGUUCGCCACUGACUAGAUAGAAAAAAC
rnacentral:lncRNA from 1 species